UACGAAGGGGGGCUAGCGUUGCUCGGAAUCACUGGGCGUAAAGCGCACGUAGGCGGCUUUCUAAGUCAGGGGUGAAAUCCUGGAGCUCAACUCCAGAACUGCCUUUGAUACUGGAGAGCUUGAGUCCGGGAGAGGUGAGUGGAACUCCGAGUGUAGAGGUGAAAUUCGUAGAUAUUCGGAAGAACACCAGUGGCGAAGGCGGCUCACUGGCCCGGUACUGACGCUGAUGUGCGAAAGCGUGGGGAGC
rnacentral:rRNA from 1 species